AUUGUGCCCCUGGGAGCCGGCAGGCACGGGCAGCCUGCAGGCGGGUGCCUGGCGUGGCCUGUUUCCUGGGUCCUUGAGUUCGUACCCAGCUGGUCCUGACCCCCUCCCACAGCUGGCCCCUCCUCCCCUAUCCCAGGGUCGAGCCAAGAGGGCAUGGGCAGCCCAGCCUAGCAGGGCUUUCCCUUCCUUCCUCCUUCCCCAUAGAGGACACGCAGAGGAGCAGCUGGCUUGCCCGGAGUCCUCCGACCUUGACCCAAGAAUGCAGGGCCCACCCCGCAGCCUCCCCGCUGGGCUCAGCCUGGACGACUUCAUCCCUGGCCACCUCCAGUCCCACAUAGGGUCUUCCUCCCCGGGGACACGGGUGCCCGUGAUCCGGAAUGGUGGCUCCAACACCCUUAAUUUCCAGUUCCACGACCCCGCGCCCAGGACUGUGUGCAAUGGGGGCUACACAAGACGAGAUGCUUCGCAGCACCCGGACCCUGCGUGGUAUCAGACCUGGCCAGGCCCUGGGAGCAAGCCCUCUGCAAGCACAAAGAUCCCUGCCUCCCAGCACACCCAGAACUGGUCAGCCACGUGGACCAAGGACAGCAAGCGUCGGGACAAGCGCUGGGUCAAGUACGAGGGAAUCGGGCCCGUGGAUGAGAGCGGCAUGCCCAUUGCCCCCCGAUCCAGUGUUGACAGACCCAGAGACUGGUACCGGAGAAUGUUCCAGCAGAUUCACCGGAAAAUGCCAGACCUGCAGCUGGACUGGACCUUCGAGGAGCCACCCAGAGACCCCAGGCAUCUAGGAGCCCAGCAAAGACCUGCCCACAGGCCCGGCCCGGCAGCAUCUUCCAGUGGAAGAAGCUGGGACCACUCUGAAGAGUUACCUAGAAGCACCUUUAGCUACAGACCUGGAGCAUUCUCCACUGUGCUGCAGCCCCCAAAUCAGGUGCUCAGAUGCCGAGAAAAAGUAGACAAUGUCUGGACGGAAGAAUCCUGGAACCAGUUUCUGCAGGAACUAGAGACUGGGCAGAGGCCCAAGAAACCGCUGGUGGACGACCCUGGUGAGAAGCCCUCCCAGCCCAUUGAGGUGCUGCUGGAGAGAGAGCUGGCCAAGCUGAGCGCCGAGCUGGACAAGGACCUGCGGGCAAUUGAGACCCGACUGCCGUCCCCCAAGAGCUCGCCGGCGCCCCGACGGGCCCCGGAGCAGCGGCCCCAGGCCGGGUGAGUGGGAGACGCGGGAGGAGGAAGGGGGCUGUCCCAGGCCGGGCGGGAGGGAACGUGGCGCGGCCGGGCGGGGAGGACGGGGGCGAUCGCGGGGCCCAGCCGGGGGAGGAGGGAACCACAGAGCCGUGUCCAGGAGGGACCGCAGCGCCACUCUCUGCGGGGCGCCGUUCCCGCGCCACCGAGGGCAGCUAACUCCGAGCAGAGGACGGGGGUCGCGGCCGCCCGGGGCGCAGCGCGGUUAGGGCGGCCCCGCCACGGCCCAGGCAUUCCCGCUGGGCCCUGCCAGGCCUCACCCUUCCCGGCGCAGCGACUCGGGAAGUAGGACAUCCUGUGGAGAGCCCAGGACCCAGGAGACGCCCUGGGAGGAGGUGGCAGGGAUGGGGGCGAUGGGGGUCAGAGCGGUCUGGGGGUGACCAGGGUGGGGCGCGGAGCCCCAGGCUGGAGGCUCAGUCUCUGUGCCCCGUGCAGCUCGGCCUCAGCCUGGAGCUCCAGCUCCCCGCAUGCACCUUACCUGGGUUCCGCCCGGUCCCUGAGCUCCCACAGAAUGGCUGAUGGAGGAAGCCCCUUCCUAGGUCAGAGGGACUUUGUCUACCCUUCCUCAACCCGAGACCCUAGUGCCUCUAACGGAGGGGGCAGCCCAGCCAGGAGGGAAGAGAAGAAGAGGAAGGCCGCCAGGCUCAAGUUUGACUUCCAGGCUCAGUCCCCCAAGGAGCUGACUCUGCAGAAGGGUGACAUUGUCUACAUCCACAAGGAGGUGGACAAGAACUGGCUGGAGGGAGAGCACCACGGCCGCCUGGGCAUCUUCCCUGCUAAUUAUGUGGAGGUGCUGCCCGCAGAUGAGAUCCCGAAGCCCAUCAAGCCCCCGACCUACCAGGUGCUGGAGUAUGGAGAGGCUGUGGCCCAGUACACCUUCAAGGGGGACCUGGAGGUGGAGCUGUCCUUCCGCAAGGGAGAGCACAUCUGCCUGAUACGCAAGGUGAACGAGAACUGGUACGAGGGGCGCAUCACGGGCACAGGGCGCCAAGGCAUAUUUCCUGCCAGCUACGUGCAGGUGUCUCGUGAACCCCGGCUCCGGCUCUGUGACGACGGCCCCCAGCUCCCCACGUCUCCCCGCCUGACCGCUGCCGCCCGUUCAGCCCGUCACCCCAGCUCCCCCUCAGCCCCACGCAGCCCAGCUGACCCCACUGACUGGGUGGGGCAGACCUCCCCCCGUCGCACUGGCUUCUCCUUCCCCACCCAGGAGCCUAGACCCCAGACCCAGAAUCUUGGCACCCCUGGUCCAGCUCUGUCCCACCCUCGAGGUCCCAGCCAUCCCCUGGACCUGGGGACCUCCUCUCCUAACACCUCUCAGAUACACUGGACCCCGUACCGGGCGAUGUACCAGUACAGGCCCCAGAAUGAAGACGAGCUGGAGCUGCGUGAGGGGGACAGGGUGGACGUCAUGCAGCAGUGUGACGAUGGCUGGUUUGUGGGUGUCUCCAGGAGGACCCAGAAAUUCGGAACGUUCCCUGGAAAUUACGUUGCCCCGGUGUGAGUGGUCUCCAUGGCAACUUGGAGCCAGCCAGGAUGGGGUGGGGAGCGGUGGCAGUCGUGGGAGGGAGAGGACCCCCGCCCACAUCCUCCUACCCCAGGACCUGCGCUCCCAGCAUCUGCAGACGACCCCCGCAGCCUUUCCCUCGGACCCCCCUCGAAGCCCCCUGGACUGAUUCCCACCCACCACUCACGGGCAUUCCUCCCACAGCCCUUUCAUUUCCUCCCCACCCCACUCCCCAAAUACAGAGGUCUGCUUUGAAGUGGAGACCAUUUCCAGGCCUUAUUGAGACCAGACCCCAAGUCCCCCACCCCCAUCCUGCU
rnacentral:sRNA from 1 species